rnacentral:rRNA from 1 species
AUUGAACGCUGGCGGCAGGCCUAACACAUGCAAGUCGAACGAGCGGCGGACGGGUGAGUAAUGUAUGGGGAACUGCCCGAUGGAAGGGGAUAACUACUGGAAACGGUGGCUAAUACCGCAUACUAUCGGAUGUGCCCAGAUGGGAUUAGCUAGUAGGUGGGGUAAUGGCUCACCUAGGCGACGAUCCCUAGCUGGUCUGAGAGGAUGAUCAGCCACACGGGAACUGAGACACGGCCCAGACUCCUACGGGAGGCAGCAGUGGGGAAUAUUGCACAAUGGGCGCAAGCCUGAUGCAGCCAUGCCGCGUGUAUGAAGAAGGCCUUAGGGUUGUAAAGUACUUUCAGCGAGGAGGCGUUACCCGCAGAAGAAGCACCGGCUAACUCCGUGCCAGCAGCCGCGGUAAUAC